AGCAGCCGCGGUAAUUCCAGCUCCAAUAGCGUAUAUUAAAGUUGUUGCAGUUAAAAAGCUCGUAGUUGAAUUUCGGGGUCAGUAGGUUGGUCGUGCCACCGGUACGUACUGGUCUCACUGAUUCCUCCUUCCUGAUGAGCUGUAAUGCCAUUAAUUUGGUGUUGCAGGGAAUCUGGACUGUUACUUUGAAAAAAUUAGAGUGUUUAAAGCAGGCUAACGCUUGAAUACAUUAGCAUGGAAUAAUGAAAUAGGACGUUCGAUCCUAUUUUGUUGGUUUCUAGGAUUGACGUAAUGAUUAAUAGGGAUAGUUGGGGGCAUUAGUAUUCAAUUGUCAGAGGUGAAAUUCUUGGAUUUAUUGAAGACUAACUACUGCGAAAGCAUUUGCCAAGGAUGUUUUCAUUAAUCAAGAACGAAAGUUAGGGGAU
rnacentral:rRNA from 1 species